GAAGAUGGUGAAGGAUGGAGAUGAGUUGGUGAGGAUGAUGAUGAUCCUUCCAUGAGUUUUUCUUCUUUCUCCAAUCUUUCCUCUUUUUUUCUCCUUUAUUUUUAUUUUCUUCUUUUCUUUCUUUCUCUUUUCUUUUCGUCAUUUCUUUUUCCUUCCUUCUAAUAACUAAAAUAUAUUUAUUGGUAAGAGAAAGUGAAGAGAAAUAUCUUAAAAUCUUAAAAGAGAUGUUU
rnacentral:lncRNA from 1 species